rnacentral:misc_RNA from 1 species
AUUUUAUUUGAAUUUAGAAGAAAAAAAUUUAAGGUCCAUUUGUAUUAUUUGAUUGUUUUAGUGAAAAGAAGUUAUCUAAUUUUAGCUUUAUAUUGCAUGUAGAUGUACAGUAAUUGUGAUUAUGACCCAUCACUUGCAUUAAGUCAUGUUUUGGUGUGAUUUUGUUUGUAAUGUAAUCAGUUAUUCACUAUUUCAACUACUGAUGCUAUGAACA